UACGACGGGGGCAAGCGUUGUUCGGAAUUACUGGGCGUAAAGGGCGCGUAGGCGGCCGAUCAAGUCAGGCGUGAAAUUCCCGGGCUCAACCUGGGGGCUGCGCUUGAUACUGAUUGGCUUGAAUGCGGGAGAGGAUAGUGGAAUUCCCAGUGUAGAGGUGAAAUUCGUAGAUAUUGGGAAGAACACCGGUGGCGAAGGCGGCUAUCUGGCCCGUAAUUGACGCUGAGGCGCGAAAGCGUGGGGAGCAAACAGG
rnacentral:rRNA from 1 species